rnacentral:tRNA from 1 species
GUCCUUGUAGUUCAAUGGAUAGAACGGCGGUUUCCUAAACCGUAGAUUUGGGUUCGAUUCCCAGCAGGGGCA